AUAUUACUGGGUUUCUUUUGGGUUGGCAGACCACACUUUUGGAUUACAUCAGGAAAAGCAAGGUGGCAGCAUCUGAAGCAGGUGGAAUUACUCAAGGCAUGGGGGCAUACAAGGUACAAGUACCUUUUGAUGGCAAGCCACAGACUUGUGUUUUCCUUGACACCCCUGGACAUGAGACAUAUCUUAAAAGGCCUUUGUCAAGAUGAAUUAUCUAAC